rnacentral:rRNA from 1 species
GAUGAACGCGGCGGCGUGCCUAAUACAUGCAAGUAGAACGCUGAAGCUUGGUGCUUGCACCGAGCGGAUGAGUUGCGAACGGGUGAGUAACGCGUAGGUAACCUGCCUGGUAGCGGGGGAUAGCUAUUGGAAACGAUAGCUAAUACCGCAUAACAGUCGACAUUGCAUGAUGUUGAUUUGAAAGGGGCAAAUGCUCCACUACCAGAUGGACCUGCGUUGUAUUAGCUAGUUGGUGAGGUAACGGCUCACCAAGGCGACGAUACAUAGUCGACCUGAGAGGGUGAUCGGCCACACUGGGACUGAGACACGGCCCAGACUCCUACGGGAGGCAGCAGUAGGGAAUCUUCGGCAAUGGACGGAAGUCUGACCGAGCAACGCCGCGUGAGUGAAGAAGGUUUUCGGAUCGUAAAGCUCUGUUGUAAGAGAAGAACGAGUGUGAGAGUGGAAAGUC